rnacentral:tRNA from 1 species
AAAGAAUUAGUUAAAAAAUAACAUUAAAAUGUCAAAUUAAAAUUAUUAAAUUACUAAUAUUCUUUA